CAGCAGCCGCGGGAAUACGGAGGGGGCUAGCGUUGUUCGGAAUUACUGGGCGUAAAGCGCACGUAGGCGGCUUGGUAAGUUAGAGGUGAAAGCCCGGAGCUCAACUCCGGAAUUGCCUUUAAGACUGCCGAGCUAGCAGGUGAGAGAGGUAAGUGGAAUUCCGAGUGUAGAGGUGAAAUUCGUAGAUAUUCGGAAGAACACCAGUGGCGAAGGCGGCUUACUGGCUCAUACUGGACGCUGAGGUGCGAAAGCGUGGGGAGCAAACAGGAUUAGAUACCCCAGUAGUCCCUGUCUCUUAUAC
rnacentral:rRNA from 1 species